CAGAGAUGGAUUGGUGCCUUCGGGAACUCUGAGACAGGUGCUGCAUGGCUGUCGUCAGCUCGUGUUGUGAAAUGUUGGGUUAAGUCCCGCAACGAGCGCAACCCUUAUCCUUUGUUGCCAGCGGUUAGGCCGGGAACUCAAAGGAGACUGCCAGUGAUAAACUGGAGGAAGGUGGGGAUGACGUCAAGUCAUCAUGGCCCUUACGAGUAGGGCUACACACGUGCUACAAUGGCGCAUACAAAGAGAAGCGACCUCGCGAGAGCAAGCGGACCUCAUAAAGUGCGUCGUAGUCCGGAUUGGAGUCUGCAACUCGACUCCAUGAAGUCGGAAUCGCUAGUAAUCGUAGAUCAGAAUGCUACGGUGAAUACGUUCCCGGGUCUUGUACACACCG
rnacentral:rRNA from 1 species